GAGAAGACCCUGUGGAGCUUUAGACCUAAAAUAAACCACGUUUAAUGUACUAUGUCAAUAGCAAAAACUUAGUGGACAAUUAUUAAAGUGUCUUUGGUUGGGGCGACCGCGGAGUAAAACACAACCUCCAUGUGGACGGGGAUACUAUCCCCAAAACUCAGAGCCUCCACUCCAAGCAACAGAAAUUCUGACCUAGCUGAUCCGGUAUACCGAUUAACGAACCCAGUUACCCCAGGGAUAACAGCGCAAUCCCCUCUCAGAGCUCAUAUCGACGAGGGGGUUUACGACCUCGAUGUUGGAUCAGGACAUCAA
rnacentral:rRNA from 1 species